AAAAGUGAUAUUUUAAAAAGGGAGCAGCCUGCAGGAACAUUCUUUCUUACUACAGUAAUAAAAAGUCAGGAAUGGAAACAGUGUUUCCUGACUGCCAGGGAAGGCAGACAUUGAUGUUGCAGCAGGUGAUCUUAGCGGCUUCAGCUCUUCCUCUGCCUGGUCUCUGCUCCUCACUGCCUUUUAGAUAGUGCUGUUAAUCCUUACUGGCAUUUCAUUAUGCAUGGACUUGUCUGACCUUUCUAGAGCAGUUGGUAAGGAAAUGUUUGCUGAGUACAUGCUUGUUUCCUAUCAAUCAGUAAAAUACCCAAACAUACUCACACUGCUUCCCUCUUUCUUCUUUCAGCCCAUCGUGCACAUUUAUGUGCAGUCCAUUGAAGGAAUAUUGAAGGAAAUGAGCAGCUGCCUGCCACCUCUCCUGCCACCUCUGCAGUCACCUGCUAGAACAGAGACUUGCAAAUUUCCAUUGCAGGCAGAGGAAAGGAAGCCCAUUGAUGUGCCAUCAAUUGAAGAAAUUUUGAGAGAAAUGAGCAGCUCACUGCCACCUCUCCUGUCACCUCUUCAGACGCCUACAAGAGCAGAGAUGUGCAGACUUCCAUUGGCAGGAAAGGAAUCCCAACCUGAUGGAUCUGCAGCACAGAAACAGAAUAAAGAGAAAUGCAAAGGAAACCCAGUUCUUUCUGUGCUGACAGGUAAUUUUGUGUGUUAGAUGUGGCAGAGACCAUCAAGCGUUCCCACUGAUUAAGCAGUGUGAUUUCCUCUGCUUUGCUGAACAGGGAUGAAUUUAGGAAUGGCUCAAGAAACUGUAAGCAAUCAUUACGU
rnacentral:lncRNA from 1 species